UACGUAGGGUGCAAGCGUUAAUCGGAAUUACUGGGCGUAAAGCGUGCGCAGGCGGUUGUGCAAGACAGAUGUGAAAUCCCCGGGCUUAACCUGGGAACUGCAUUUGUGACUGCACAGCUGGAGUCCCGGAGAGGAGGGUGGAAUUCCUGGUGUAGCGGUGAAAUGCGUAGAUAUCAGGAGGAACACCGGUGGCGAAGGCGACUUACUGGACUGUAACUGACGCUGAGGCAUGAAAGCGUGGGUAGCAAAC
rnacentral:rRNA from 1 species